rnacentral:misc_RNA from 1 species
AACGGUCUAUACCUGCGGUACCUGCGGAAGGAUCAUUACCGAGUUAGGGUCUUCUUAGGCCCGACCUCCCAACCCUGUGUUUAUUGAACCGAUGUUGCUUCGGCGGGCCCGUCUUACGACCGCCGGAGGACCGUAAGAGGUCCUCUGGCCCGCGCCCGCCGGUGGCCAUAACUUACAAACUCUGGUUAAAGCGUGUCACUGUCUGAGUACUAUUUUUAAUUAACGCAAAACUUUCAACAA